UACGUAGGGUGCGAGCGUUAAUCGGAAUUACUGGGCGUAAAGCGUGCGCAGGCGGUUUUGUAAGACAGGCGUGAAAUCCCCGGGCUCAACCUGGGAAUGGCGCUUGUGACUGCAAGGCUGGAGUGCGGCAGAGGGGGAUGGAAUUCCGCGUGUAGCAGUGAAAUGCGUAGAUAUGCGGUGGAACACCGAUGGCGAAGGCAAUCCCCUGGGCCUGCACUGACGAUCAUGCACGAAAGAGUGGGGAGCAAACAGG
rnacentral:rRNA from 1 species